rnacentral:lncRNA from 1 species
UAUUCGUCCGGUGGCGUCUAGUCGUGGUUUCUCUUCCCAUUCAUCAUCUUUCGAUGUCUGGUCAUGGUUUCUUUCUUCCAUUCAUCCGUUGAUGUCUGGUUGAGUCUUUCCUAUUCGUCCAUUGGCGUCUAGUCGUGGUUUCUUUCUCCCAUUCAUCCGUUGAUGUCUGGUUGAGUCUUUCCUAUUCCUCCGUUGGCGUCUAGUCGUGGUUUCUCUUCC